CCUACGGGAGGCAGCAGUGGGGGAUAUUGCACAAUGGGGGGAACCCUGAUGCAGCGACGCCGCGUGGGUGAAGAAGCGCCUCGGCGCGUAAAGCCCUGUCAGCAGGGAAGAAAAUGACGGUACCUGAAGAAGAAGCCCCGGCUAACUACGUGCCAGCAGCCGCGGUAAUACGUAGGGGGCAAGCGUUAUCCGGAUUUACUGGGUGUAAAGGGGGCGCAGCCGGAGAGACAAGUCAGAUGUGAAAUCCACGGGCUCAACCCGUGAACUGCAUUUGAAACUGUUUCCCUUGAGUGUCGGAGAGGUAAUCGGAAUUCCUGGUGUAGCGGUGAAAUGCGGAGAUAUAAGGAAGAACACCAGUGGCGAAGGCGGAUUACUGAACGAUAACUGACGGGGAGGCGCGAAAGCGUGGGGAGCAAACAGGAUUAGAUACCCGGGUAGGC
rnacentral:rRNA from 1 species